GACGAACGCUGGCGGCGUGCUUAACACAUGCAAGUCGAACGGAAAGGCCCUGCUUUUGUGGGGUGCUCGAGUGGCGAACGGGUGAGUAACAAGUGAGUAACCUGCCCUUGACUUUGGGAUAACUUCAGGAAACUGGGGUUAAUACCGGAAAGGAUCUCCGCCUGCAUGGUGGGGGUGGGAAAGUUUCGGCGGUUGGGGAUGGACUCGCGGCUUAUCAGCUUGUUGGUGGGGUAGUGGCUUACCAAGGCUUUGACGGGUAGCCGGCCUGAGAGGGUGACCGGCCACAUUGGGACUGAGAUACGGCCCAGACUCCUACGGGAGGCAGCAGUGGGGAAUAUUGCACAAUGGGCGGAAGCCUGAUGCAGCAACGCCGCGUGCGGGAUGACGGCCUUCGGGUUGUAAACCGCUUUCGCCUGUGACGAAGCGUGAGUGACGGUAAUGGGUAAAGAAGCACCGGCUAACUACGUG
rnacentral:rRNA from 1 species